rnacentral:rRNA from 1 species
UACGAAGGGGGCGAGCGUUGUUCGGAUUUACUGGGCGUAAAGGGCGCGCAGGCGGCGCAUUUUGUCAGGCGUGAAAGCCCCGGGCUUAACCUGGGAACUGCGUUUGAUACGGAUGGGCUAGAGUUCGGGAGAGGAGAGUGGAAUUCCCAGUGUAGAGGUGAAAUUCGUAGAUAUUAGGAAGAACACCAGUGGCGAAGGCGGCUCACUGGUCCGGUACUGACGCUGAGGUGCGAAAGCGUGGGGAGCAAACAGG